GAGCCCAGAGCUGGGACCGUCCAACAAUGUUUUAAACAUGUUGUCUUACAAAGAAGAAGGUACAGAGACUGGGAAGUUGCUGGAGAGGGUGUUUAUGUGGGAAAGACCUACUGCCGUCUAAAAGACUACGGAAGGAACCAGGGUGAGAAGAGAGAAGAGGCGAGGUCCCCAGAGGGAAAAGCGGGGACCCGGAGCAUUGGGGUCCUUGGGCUCACUGAGCAAGGCGUGCACGUCCCCACCUCAGGCAGCAGGUGAACAGAGCCUCCAGGAAGACAAGACCCUCAGAGCCCUUGUGCCUCACCUGCCAGCCUCAACCAGGACCAGGUCUCCCAACACCCAAUCCAGGGUUCUUUUCACACUGGGUGGUUUUUCUUUCUUGCUCACAUUAGAGGAUUCAAGGGCGGGGAGUGGACUGGACAGGAAUAGAAACUAAAGCUGAUGAGUAGGAAACGCCGACUGAGAGCAUUUCAGACUGUUGGAGAGAGUCUUCUUCCAAUGAAGAUGCUCCCGUUGCUGUGUUGUGUGCCCGUGAACACAGUGGCCCUCCGGCAGCCCCCACUCACCCCUUCCUGGAUGGUGGAGGCGCUGCCCUGAUGGCAUCCCCAGGACUGUGCGGAGGCUGAUGGUGAGUAGACACUCCAGAAACCACCCCCAGCUGACUCAGUCCUCACCAUUUGACCCCCUGGACGAUGCUAUCACAGGUGACUCCUGCUUUUAAAAACAUUGUCCCUCUGAAAAGUGACAUUGAUGCCUCUGUACAAAACAUCUUGAUAUCUGAUAGCAAAGACUCAGUCUAGGAAGAAGGGGGCGUUAAAUGGUAUUCUGGGAGAUGAUGAGACGCUCACCAGUUGGGGAGAGGGAAGAAGAGUGAAUAAAAGCUUGCACCCCUGAAGAGUUUCACCCGCCAUGGAGGACCCAAGGCCAGGACCCAUGUGAAGAGAGGGAUCCCUCCGUUACCUGCCAGGCAGCUUCUCUCACCUGAUAGUCUCCAAAGAGCGUGACUCACGGGCACUGUGUUCAGAGGGUCUGUUGCGCCCCCAAGGCACCUGCAAGACAGUUAUCACCCAGCAAGCACUGAAACGCUGUCAUCGGGCCUUCCUUCUCUGCCACACUUACACACUGGACACGGGGGAUGAGAAUGGAGUCCAGGCUGUGGCCUCUGCAUGAGAGGGCGUGCUUCUUCCCAGGGGUGAGGUACACGCACAAAGAUCUCCUGAGCAUCAGAUCCCAGUUCUGGAAGGGGGCGAAGCUGUGGUCCCAGGUGCCCAGAGACUUGGCCCACUUCUGUGACUGAGGAUGUGUUGGGUUCAAAUUGUUCACUCAGUUGGGUACCCAGUUCCACCUAAGAUGCUGCUCUAGGGAGGCCCCGUCCGUAUUCCUUUUCCUCCUCCAUCAUGCCAACGAAGGAUGGAGAUCAAAGGAACGAAAGGCAGCCAGUCAUCUUUGCACACCCAAAAUGUCUCACAGCUGAUGGAAUUUGGAGAAUGUGCGAAUCACUUCGAAUCUUACCUUCUUAUAGAUGCUGGAAUGGAUUCUGGAUUUAAUCUAAAAUGAAUAACACAUUUUCAUCCUUAUUAACCAUGCAGUAAAAGGUACUUAUGAAAUGAACAGAUGACUCAAUAUUUGUUUAGUAAUAACAUCGUACUCAUGAUUUUGCCCAAAUUCCACUAAUUGUUGAGUUCCCCUUGCUGCAUGGCAGGACCUGAGUCUUCCUUGAGGAUUUUUCCCCUUAUUCUUAGGCAGUCCCAAAGGAGUGGGUUCUUGGCCGCAGGAAACAUGCAGGAAACGUACAGCAUUGCCUCCGCUUUUUCUGCAGAAAAAGUCCACCAAGCAGAUCCUAAGGAAACCCCCCAGUCACCACUUCUUACAGCACUGAGACUGUUACCAGCCCUGGGCACAUCCACAGAGAAGUGUUUCUCAUUACUUAGUCCUUCUAGUUCAGAGCCCCAGCCCCCACCCACCCAGACACACACACACGUGCAUGCACACGCAUGCAUGCAAGUUAUUAGAUGCAUAGAAAAGGAGCCAAAAUGUCACACCUCAAGGAUUUUAAUAAUGGUGAAGCCUGCUGGAGCACGAGUGUUGAGAUGUUUCUUGUCUUUGUCUGCUGCCAUACCCACUUGCUUUGCUUUUUUACUGACACAUGAUCUUGUAAUGCUGUUUUUAUUAUGGAUUAAUAUGCAUUUUAUAUUUUA
rnacentral:lncRNA from 1 species